ensembl:lncRNA
CAAGAACACUGAAUAAGCUAAACUAUAAAGCCCCUGGGGAGCUCAAAGAGAUCACUACUUAAAUUAAGGAGAGUAGCUGCUGAGCUAGAACACAGCAAUUCUCAGACAGCUAUAUCCUAAGAGUCUUAUGAAGACUCGUAGACCAAGAAUGAAUUUUGAAUGAAUGAAUGACAAUACACAGCUAGCCAGGUAAGUCCUUCCUGAAAAGCUGCCCAGACCACAGAGAAUUAGAGAGCUAGCACAUAUAUAUCCUCAGAUAGCUAUGUACCUAGGAAGAGGCUACCAAAAGGAGGACUGACCAAAACUACCCAGACCACAGAGAGUGGGCUGUCUACUUACAACCCAAGGAGGGGAGACAGCGCUAUCAAGGCAUCAGUCAAUGCAAGGCCUUUGUGGUCAGAAGUCGGAGACCCCACAUCCAACACUGAAUGGAACGCAGUGUUAGAGCAGAGAGAGGCCUUUGGAAGGCAACCAGGCACAAACGCGCAACAGCUGCUGCUAUCUGCUGGCUGGAUUCAUAUGCAACUAGUGCAACCGUUUGGUUGUACUAAAAUGGAAGUGAUGCUGCCAUGAUUUGGCCUUCACAGAGCAAACUGCAAGCAUAUCACAAGGUCCCCUCUUUGAUCACACCCAUUGCUGGUGUGACCAGCAUGUCCUGAAAUACUUCACAUUUUUACAUACAUAUCUAAUUUGUACUGCGAAAAGAGCUGCUAAAAUUGGCUGUUGCCUUUCUGUGCAAUAAUUGAUUAAUUAAUUCUGGCUGAGAGGCAUGAUGUCUCUGAUGUCCUGCUGGUGUUUCCAUCACUAAGCCAUGCCGAACGUUUGUCCAAUUUGAUGUAGAUAUGUUAUUCUCUCCUGGCUGCCUGCCGGCCACACUCGAUCACACCUCAGCCUUUAAAGUGCACGCCAAGAUCAAUCAUCUGCUGGGGCCAAGGUGUAACUUCAUGAAAUAAUUAUUUCACUGGCCUUUGGAGUAUGCAGUGGGCUGAAAAUAAACAGCGGUGGGUUGUGCAGGAAGAGGAAAGGUGUGAGGAGAAGAGAUGCAAGAGGCCAUAGUGUGAAAUGAGAGCAGCGGCAGCAGAAUUUAUGGCUGACAUUCAUGUUAUGGCAGCGGUUCAGACAUGACCUCUUCACUCACUCAGCAGCUGCCUGCUCUUCACUGCCUUUCUCCACCUGUCCCGAAAGCACGCCACUCUCAAGGCUAGACCAGAUAAAUCUGCACGUCUGAAGCGAACACUAUCUGUUAGUAUGCUGCAAAACCUAAUGAGAUGGCUACAUAGUGUUUGCAUUACAAAAGCUCUUUCAAAACGUAGAUGCCUUUUGAUACCUUCUUUCACACAAAUUAUAAUUAUGGGGCAGAUUACUGAUUAAUAAAAACAUUUUCUCGUGGUUCUUUGCACAAUACAAUGUAAUGACCUCAAAACACUUUUAUUAAAGUGUGUCAUUUGUAAACAUAUAUAUUUGCACUUUUGCAUCACUUAAUUAACUUACUACUAACAUAGUAAACUUGCUCAGUAGCUCACCUAAUACAACGCUGCACUUGUGAUGCGAAGCACUCAGCAACGAGUUCUAAGAAACAGAUGUCAUGACUUUGAGCUCAGAAACUUGUAGAAGCAAGCUAACGUGAUAAAGCAUUAAUCAUUUAGCGUCACUAAUCUAAUAUUUCAUUUUUAAAUUGCUGUGAUACGUACAACAACCAAUGUAAUAAAGCAUUACCACUUUCACAUUAUCUAUAUUGAGGAGAACUGAACUAACUUUUAG